CCAGGCGUCGAGCGGCGGACGGGUGAGUAACGCGUAGGAAUGUACCUAUUGGUUCGGAACAACUGCGGGAAACUGCAGCUAAUACCGAAUGUGCCCGAAAGGGGAAAGAUUUAUCGCCAAUGGAUCAGCCCGCGUAGGAUUAGCUAGUUGGUGAGGUAAUGGCUCACCAAGCCGACGAUCCAUAGCUGGUUUGAGAGGAUGAUCAGCCACACUGGGACUGAGACACGGCCCAGACUCC
rnacentral:rRNA from 1 species